GCUCCGCCACCGCGGCGGGAUCCGCAGGCGGGAGCGGCAGGGACGGUGCGGGGCUGCGGCUCCAUCCUCCGCGGAUCGACAAGACAAUGCUGGCCAGCCUGAAGAUCAAGAAGCAGGAGCUGCUGAACAGCACGGAUGUGACCGUCCCAGAGCGGCCCCUGUCACCCCCCCUCACCGCCCCCCCGACCAUGAAGGUGAGUGCAGGGGCACCGCGGUGCCGGGCGUGGGCGCGCGGUCCAGCCGAGGCGCCGGUUUUGGAAAGCCAGG
rnacentral:lncRNA from 1 species